GUGCAUAGAUAGGUGUGUACAGAUUGUAUACAGACUCAUUUCAACAUUGAAGGGCGUGUGAACAGAUAUUUCUUCAGCAGCUGAUAUCGGUGGCCAAAACACAGCCAGGUUGCUGGCACGGAUUUGUGCGAAUGUUCGGAUACACAUUAACUCAUCGGGAUACAAAUAGGGACGUUCCCCUGCUGAUCUACUCAGAUCCCUGCCUCCCAUCAGCAAGGGACAAAAAGGGUUAACAACCUCAUCUGGAUUGCAGCGACUGACAAUGACUGCAAUCAAGCUAAUGCACUCUGCAGCUGAACUGCUGGCAUCCGCGGUGACACGGCCAGCCUCCGUGUACAGCUAUUCUACACGCUAACACACGUAUGUGUCUAUGGGAUCACAUACAACAUGGGACACACGCCAACGUAUCCCUGCUCUAUGCAUAUUCUAUAAGAACCGACUGAAAUACGGAACACGCAUGAUACCAGCGGCCCGGGGUUAUAAGAAGCAAGAAAACCUAAAAAGUGGAAUGUCCAGUUGAACGCCAGAUACCGUACCCCUAGGCAUGGCUGGUGGGAACGACCAUUAACCAUUAAACAUGCAACAUGAAAUGAGCUGCUAGCCAAUACCUACUGGGCAUUCUGGUACCAGAACUGCUAGCCAACACCUACUGGGCAUUUAAGACUGGAGAUGGAGCGCAGGGGAGGCUCAGGGGCCGCAUGGCGGAGCUAGGCUGACCAAAGCCACGUUCAGGAUUAACCAGGUGGGGUUUUGGGGUGCUAAAACGGUUGACAGGGUGGGUUUUCGAAAGGGAUUAUGGGUAGGUCUGUAGGAUAUACAUGUUCGGGUCAGUUAGGUAAGCCAGUGACUUGCCUUGGAGAUGGAAUCAUUGUUUCUGUUUCAACUCCAUGUUUUUUACGUUUGUCAAUAAACAUUGUGGCCACUUCUUUCCAAA